rnacentral:rRNA from 1 species
UUGACCUCGGAUCAGGUAGGGAUACCCGCUGAACUUAAGCAUAUCAAUAAGCGGAGGAAAAGAAACCAACAGGGAUUGCCUCAGUAACGGCGAGUGAAGCGGCAACAGCUCAAAUUUGAAAUCUGGCCCUUGGGUCCGAGUUGUAAUUUGUAGAGGAUGUUUUGGGUACCGCCGCGGUUUAAAUUUCUUGGAACAGAAUGUCAGAGAGGGUGAGAGUCCCGUCUGGAACUGCGGUAGGGCCUGGGUAAAACUCCUUCGACGAGUCGAGUUGUUUGGGAAUGCAGCUCAAAUGGGUGGUAAAUUUCAUCUAAAGCUAAAUAUUGGCCAGAGACCGAUAGCGCACAAGUAGAGUGAUCGAAAGAUGAAAAGCACUUUGAAAAGAGAGUUAAACAGUAUGUGAAAUUGUUGAAAGGGAAGCGCUUGCAACCAGACUUGUGUGUGGCGGUUCCCCCUUGCUUCUGCUUGGGCUACUCCGUCAUGUUCAGGCCAACAUCGGUUCCAGGGGUCGGUUAAAGGCCCUGGGAAUGUACCUACCUCCGGGUAGACUUAUAGCCCAGGGUGUCAUGCGGCCUCCCGGGACCGAGGAACACGCUUCGGCGAGGAUGUUGGCGUAAUGGUUGUCAGCGACCCGUCUUGAAACACGGACCAAGGAGUCUAACAUCUAUGCGAGUGUUUGGGUGUCAAACCCGUGCGCGAAAUGAAAGUGAACGGAGGUAGGAAGCCUUUAGGCUGCACUAUCGACCGAUCCUGAUAUUUAUGGAUGGAUUUGAGUAAGAGCAUAGCUGUUGGGACCCGAAAGAUGGUGAACUAUGCCUGAAUAGGGUGAAGCCAGAGGAAACUCUGGUGGAGGCUCGCAGCGGUUCUGACGUGCAAAUCGAUCGUCAAAUUUGGGUAUAGGGGCGAAAGACUAAUCGAACCAUUGCCACGACAAGCACGACGAGAAACGUGUUGUGCAGUCAGUUACUAGGUGGUUAAGUGUAGCCUAAAAGUGGCUGCAAGUGCCUGAUUCUGGCGCGACACUGCUAAAUUGCGGGGACAUCCUAAAGCUAUUGUUACCAAGCUGACCUCUGAAAGGGGGCGGUGGCCGGGGUAAUGACCUAGGGUAUGGUAAAAACACAAUAGAUGUGACAAUGGACAAUCCGCAGCCAAGUCCUAAGGGCCAAGUGCCUAUGGAUGCAGUUCACAGACUAAAUGGCAGUGGGCUUCAAGGCACCGAGCUUGGGGCUUAAGAUAUAGUCGGACCCCGGGGAAAGCCCGGGCGCAUACGCUAAAUCUGUGGUAUAGAAUAACCUCUUGCGGGGGAUAUCACAGACCCGAACGGUGCGGGCACCCCUUC